rnacentral:lncRNA from 1 species
AUGCAUUUUAAAAUGUGGAAACCCUUUUUCCCUUCCAUUUAUUUAAGGAGGGUAAAACCACUAAACAAGAACUGUUUCCAUCACCAAAUCCUAUCACAGUUGUCACCGAAGAGAGGACCCGAGCCCUCGGUACCCAUUGCCGUGGCCUCAGGAGCGCCAGAGCCCCGUUCCGAGCGCCCCGGAGAGAGCGGCUCAGUGUACGGACCCGGGAGCAAGUUGCGCCUCCUUCCAGACGCCCGUCAAGCCCCAGCGGGCGCGGAGCGGCCGGGGACCAGGAGCCACUGUUGCUUAAGAAACCAACUUGAGUUUAUGAGGCCAGCAGGCUCAGUGCCACUUGUCAGCAGCACUAAAUCACAGCUACUUUCACCUCCAAAAUGUCUGUCCAAAUCAACUAGAAGAGUGACAUGAAUUACAUUCCUGACAGCAAUAUCCUCAGCUAGGAACAGUAUGUUAAAAUGCUACCCAUGAAGAAUACUUGGUUGUUGCCAUAUGCAGUGUCUGUUAUGAGAUACAUUGAAUAUAUCCUGCUACAUUAUCUAGAGUUCAAGAGAACUGAAGACAAAAUAUAAGCUUAUCUGUGCUUGUCUUUAUUUUAUCGAUCUUGGUAUUACAUUCAUUAAAACCUGUUGUCCACUAUGUACUCAAAAGUACGUUGGAUAUUUUGAAUCAUAUGGGCUGUAAGUAAGAUCAAAAUACUAUUCCAGAACUGGUUUCCUUCUUUUUUUUAAAUGCAUAUAAAGAUUCACCUUGUACUAUUUUUAAAUUUAUUUUUAGUUUUUACUUUUUUUUUUGAGACAGGGUCUCACUAUGUAGUCCAGGCUGGCCUUGAACUUGCAGUGAUCCUCCUGCCUCAGCCUCCUGAGUGCUGGGAUUACAGGCAUGUGCCACCACACUCAGCUUACCUUGAACUUUUAAAUGAUGUAUUGCGUGUUGACAGUGUCCCAGAAUGCUUCAGGAUGCCAUGGAAGGGCCAAGCACAGGGUUAGAAACAGCAAGGAAGAAAUAAGCCUUCAGGCCUG